rnacentral:misc_RNA from 1 species
CAGCCAGUAAAAUACCUUGAUGAUGGUGGGCGUGAUGAACCUGUCCCACUGGAAGAGAUCCUGGAAAUGAAACAUGGGCUUUCUCCAGAUGAGGCGCAAAAGAUCUAGGGCGGGAGGCGAAUCAGCGACCGGCUGAAUCGCUCCGGAUGGUGAAGGUUGUCGCAUAUCGCCGAAAAGGACGGAAGAUGACCGCGAAACGCAUGGCUUGAGGUGUCCUGAAAUAACGGCCAAACUGCGCCAAUCCACAACGCGAUUGAAAUGAUGAAACUGACAUUCGAAGACUUCAAGCCCGGCCAUUUCGGCACCUUCGGCCCGCACCAUGUCUCCCGCGACGAUAUUAUCGC